GAUGAACGCUGGCGGCGUGCCUAACACAUGCAAGUCGAACGGACAGACGAUGAGCUUGUGCCUUUGUCGUUAGCGGCGGACGGGUGAGUAACGCGUAUAUAACCCACUUAUAUUUCGGGGAUAAUUACGGAAAAGCGGAUCCAAUACCAGAUAAUAUUUCGAACCGCAGGGGGCGAUGGAGAAAGUUGGCUUUGGGGGAUGUAAUAGCGGGUCUUGCGCCGGAUGGGCUGGUGGGUAAGGUAACAGCUUACCACGGCUACGAUGCGUGGCCGACCUGAGAGGGUGAUCGGCCACACUGGAACUGAGACACGGUCCAGACUCCUACGGGAGGCAGCAGUGGGGAAUAUUCCGCAAUGGGCGCAAGCCUUACGCAGCAACCCCGCGUGAGUGAUGAAGGCCUUCGGAUCGUAAAGCCCUGUUAUUAGUAAAGAACAGCAGUGUCCUUAACCGUGGCGGUCUUGACGGUACCUAAUAAAAAAGCACCGGCUAACUACGUG
rnacentral:rRNA from 1 species